rnacentral:rRNA from 1 species
GUCGAACGGCAGCACGGGGGCAACCCUGGGUGGCGAGUGGCGAACGGGUGAGUNNNNNNUCGGAACGUGUCCUGUAGUGGGGGAUAGCCCGGCGAAAGCCGGAUUAAUACCGCAUACGAUCUACGGAAGAAAGCGGGGGAUCGCAAGACCUCGCGCUAUAGGGGCGGCCGAUGGCAGAUUAGCUAGUUGGUGGGGUAAAGGCCUACCAAGGCGACGAUCUGUAGCUGGUCUGAGAGGACGACCAGCCACACUGGGACUGAGACACGGCCCAAACUCCUACGGGAGGCAGCAGUGGGGAAUAUUGGACAAUGGGCGGAAGCCUGAUCCAGCCAUGCCGCGUGUGUGAUGACGGCCUUAGGGUUGUAAAGCUCAUUCGCACGCGACGAUAAUGACGGUAGCGUGAGAAGAAGCCCCGGCUAACUUCGUGCCAGCAGCCGCG